UACGGAGGGAGCUAGCGUUGUUCGGAAUUACUGGGCGUAAAGCGCGCGUAGGCGGCUUUGUAAGUUAGAGGUGAAAGCCCGGGGCUCAACCCCGGAACUGCCUUUAAGACUGCAUCGCUUGAAUCCAGGAGAGGUGAGUGGAAUUCCGCGUGUAGCAGUGAAAUGCGUAGAGAUGCGGAGGAACACCGAUGGCGAAGGCAGCCCCCUGGGCUAACACUGACGCUCAGGCACGAAAGCGUGGGGAGCAAACAGG
rnacentral:rRNA from 1 species